rnacentral:rRNA from 1 species
GAUGAACGCUGGCGGCGUGCCUCAAACAUGCAAGUCGAGCGAGGCUAUGAAUUACCGCAAGGUAAGGCAUAGCCUAGCGGCGAACGGGUGAGUAACACGUGGGUAACCUACCUGGAAGACAGGGAUAACGGUUCGAAAGGGUCGCUAAUACCUGAUAAUAUCCGUCUGCCGGAUGGCGGAGGGAAGAAAGGGGAAACCCGCUUUCAGAUGGGCCCGCGUCCCAUCAGCUAGUUGGUAAGGUAAAGGCUUACCAAGGCGACGACGGGGUAGCCGGUCUGAGAGGAUGUACGGCCACACUGGGACUGAGAUACGGCCCAGACUCCUACGGGAGGCAGCAGUUGGGAAUCUUAGGCAAUGGACGAAAGUCUGACCUAGCGACGCCGCGUGAGGGAAGAAGGCCUUCGGGUUGUAAACCUCUGUCAUGGGGAAGAAGGAAGUGACGGUACCCAAGAGGAAGCCCCUGCUAACUACGUG